UACGGAGGAUCCAAGCGUUAUCCGGAAUUAUUGGGCGUAAAGCGCACGUAGGCGGUCUAGCAAGUCGGGUGUGAAAGCCCUCAGCUUAACUGAGGAAGUGCAUUCGAAACUACUAGGCUUGAGUACUGAAGAGGACGACGGAAUUCCCGGUGUAGAGGUGAAAUUCGUAGAUAUCGGGAGGAACACCAGUGGCAAAGGCGGCGACCUGGGCCAAUACUGACGCUGAGGUGCGAAAGCGUGGGGAGCAAACGGG
rnacentral:rRNA from 1 species